rnacentral:ncRNA from 1 species
UACCUGAUUGAUUUCUGUCAGCGCGAUAUGCUCAAGUAAAAGAUUAAGCCAUGCAUGCUUUGAUUCAUAAAUGAAAUUGCGUACGGCUCAUUAGAGCAGAUAUCACCUUUCUCGGAAUCCUGAAAAGGAUAACUGCGGAAAUUCUGGAGCUAAUACAUGCGACUAUACUCCAACGCAAGGCGGGGUGCAAUUAUUAGAACAGACCAAACGUUUUCGGACGUUGUUUGUUGACUCUGAAUACCGUCGUUUACUGUCAGUUUCGACUGACUCUAUCCGAGAAGGGUGUCUGCCCUUUCAACUAGAUGGUAAUCUAUUGGACUACCAUGGUUGUUACGGGUAACGGAGAAUUAGGGUUCGACUCCGGAGAGGGAGCCUUAGAAACGGCUACCACGUCCAAGGAAGGCAGCAGGCGCGAAACUUAUCCACUGUUGAGUAUGAGAUAGUGACUAAAAAUAUAAAGACUCAUCCUUUUGGAUGAGUUAUUUCAAUGAGUUGAAUAUAAAUUAUUCUUUGAGUAGCAAGGAGAGGGCAAGUCUGGUGCCAGCAGCCGCGGUAAUUCCAGCUCUCCUAGUGUAUCUCGUUAUUGCUGCGGUUAAAAAGCUCGUAGUUGGAUCUAGGUUACGUGCCGCAGUUCGCAAUUUGCGUUAACUGUGGUCGUGACUUCUAAUUUGCUGGUUUGAGGUUGGGUUCGCCCUUCAACUGCCAGCAGAAAAAAAAAUGAAUAAAUCAGAGUGCUCAAUACAGGCGCUUGCUUGAAUAGCUCAUCAUGGAAUAAUGAAACAGGACUUCGGUUCUUUUUGUUGGUUCUAGAAUUGAUCUAAUGGUUAAGAGGGACAAACCGGGGGCAUUCGUAUCAUUACGCGAGAGGUGAAAUUCGUGGACCGUAGUGAGACGCCCAAUAGCGAAAGCAUUUGCCAAGAAUGUCUUCAUUAAUCAAGAACGAAAGUCAGAGGUUCGAAGGCGAUUAGAUACCGCCCUAGUUCUGACCGUAAACGAUGCCAUCUCGCGAUUCGGAGGGUUCAUGCCCUACCGAGGAGCUACCCGGAAACGAAAGUCUUUCGGUUCCGGGG